CGAAAUGCGAUAGGUAAUGUGAAUUGCAGAAUUCAGUGAAUCAUCGAAUCUUUGAACGCACCUUGCA
rnacentral:rRNA from 1 species